GCAUAUCAGACCUUUCUCGAGCAUAGGCAUAUUGAGGUGAGGGAGUACUUGCAACGAGUGAAGGCAAAUGAUGAUUACAGCCGUCAAGUGAUGGCGGCUAUGUUGGCGUCUUGGACUAACCGCACGGAGCCACCACAAGUUGGACCCCCACCACCACCUGCGGGAGACGCCCCACACAUUCCCACGUUCGAGGAAUGGCUGGCACUAGGCGGUGAUACUCCGGGGACCGGUGGCUCGACUCCUGCUCCGUCGACCCCAGUCACUCCGAUC